rnacentral:rRNA from 1 species
CACGGGGGGAGCAAGCGUUGUUCGGAAUCACUGGGCGUAAAGGGCGUGUAGGCGGUCAGGUAAGUGGGACGUGAAAUGCCUCGGCUCACCCGAGGAGCGGCGUCCCAUACUGCUUGGCUUGAGUACGGGAGAGGAUGUGGGAAUUCCUGGUGUAGCGGUGAAAUGCGUAGAUAUCAGGAGGAACACCGGUGGCGAAGGCGCACAUCUGGCCCGAUACUGACGCUGAGGCGCGAAAGCUAGGGGAGCAAACGGGAUUAGAUACCCCGGUAGUCCUAGCCGUAAACGGUGAUCACUAGGUGUUGGGGGCAUUGACCCCUCCAGUGCCGCAGCUAACGCAUUAAGUGAUCCGCCUGGGGAGUACGGCCGCAAGGUUGAA